GGGCCCGUAGCUCAGUUGGUAGAGCAGCGGCCUUUUAAGCCGCGUGUCGCGGGUUCGAGACCCGCCGGGCCCUCCA
rnacentral:tRNA from 3 species